GAUGAACGCUGGCGGCGUGCCUAAUACAUGCAAGUCGAGCGGACGGACGAGAAGCUUGCUUCUCUGAUGUUAGCGGCGGACGGGUGAGUAACACGUGGAUAACCUACCUAUAAGACUGGGAUAACUUCGGGAAACCGUAGCUAAUACCGGAUAAUAUUUUGAACCGCAUGGUUCAAAAGUGAAAGACGGUCUUGCUGUCACUUAUAGAUGGAUCCGCGCUGCAUUAGCUAGUUGGUAAGGUAACGGCUUACCAAGGCAACGAUGCAUAGCCGACCUGAGAGGGUGAUCGGCCACACUGGAACUGAGACACGGUCCAGACUCCUACGGGAGGCAGCAGUAGGGAAUCUUCCGCAAUGGGCGAAAGCCUGACGGAGCAACGCCGCGUGAGUGGUGAAGGUCUUCGGAUCGUAAAACUCUGUUAUUAGGGAAGAACAUAUGUGUAAGUAACUGUGCACAUCUUGACGGUACCUAAUCAGAAAGCCACGGCUAACUACGUG
rnacentral:rRNA from 1 species